rnacentral:rRNA from 1 species
AUUGAACGCUGGCGGCAUGCUUUACACAUGCAAGUCGAACGGCAACACGGGGGCAACCCUGGUGGCGAGUGGCGAACGGGUGAGUAAUACAUAGGAACGUAUCCUGGAAUGGGGGAGUAGCUCGGCGAAAGCCGGAUUAAUACCGCAUACGAUCUACGGAUGAAAGCAGGGGAUUCGCAAGAACCUUGCGUUUCUGGAGCGGCCUAUGUCUGAUUAGCUAGUUGGCGGGGAAAAGCCCACCAAGGCGACGAUCAGUAGCUGGUCUGAGAGGAUGAUCAGCCACACUGGGACUGAGACACGGCCCAGACUCCUACGGGAGGCAGCAGUGGGGGAAUUUUGGACAAUGGGGGCAACCCUGAUCCAGCCAUGCCGCGUGAGUGAAGAAGGCCUCGG